AACCUCCGCAAUGUGAGAAAUCGCGACGGGGGGAUCCCAAGUGCCAUUCUUAACGGGAUGGCUUUUCAUUAGUGUAAAGAGCUUUUGGAAUAAGGGCUGGGCAAGACCGGUGCCAGCCGCCGCGGUAACACCGGCAGCUCUAGUGGUAGCAGUUUUUAUUGGGCCUAAAGCGUCCGUAGCCGGUUUAAUAAGUCUCUGGUGAAAUCCUGUAGCUUAACUGUGGGAAUUGCUGGAGAUACUAUUAGACUUGAGACCGGGAGAGGUUAGAGGUACUCCCAGGGUAGAGGUGAAAUUCUGUAAUCCUGGGAGGACCGCCUGUUGCGAAGGCGUCUAACUGGAACGGUUCUGACGGUGAGGGACGAAAGUUAGGGGCGCGAACCGGGAUUAGAUACCCGGGUAGUCCUAACCGUAAACGAUGCGGACUUGGUGUUGGGGUGGCUUUGAGCUGCUCCAGUGCCGAAGGGAAGCUGUUAAGUCCGCCGCCUGGGAAGUACGGUCGCAAGACUGAAACUUAAAGGAAUU
rnacentral:rRNA from 1 species